UAUGCAUGGUUCAGGUUUGUAAAUUGAAAUAGCACAGCAACUGGCUGGAAAGCAGCUUUGUAGAUAAGAGUUGAGUGUCCUGGUAGAUGAUGUUAACUGUAAACUGGCAAAGAUGGCCAGUGGCCUCCUGGACUGCAUUAGGAGGACUGCUGCCAGCGGGUCAAAACAGGUGACACUUCUCCUUGCUCAGAACUAGUGAGAGACUUCUGAAGUGCUGGGCUGCCCAGUACGAGGGAGACAUGGGCAUACUGGAACAAGCUCUAUUGAGAGUUGCGAAAGGCGAUUAAGGGACUAGAGUUAGAGCUCUUCAGUUGUAAUAAGAAGCUGAGACCUGGGACUGCUCAGUCUCAAGAAGGCUGCAGGGGAUCUUGCCAGUGCUUAAAAGUACCUUAUGAGAGGGAAGAGUACGGAGCCAGACUCUUCUCAGGACAAAAAGAAACAGGUACAAAUUGAAAUACAAGAAGCAUUUAAGCACAGGAAAAUCUUUGUCACUGCAAGGUAGGUCAAACAAUGGAACAGAUUGAUCAGGAAAGCUGUGGUGUAUCUAUUAUUGGAGAUAACUCAGAACUCAACUGGACAAGGUGCUGAGCAGCCUGCUGUGAGCAGGAGGGUUUAGAUGAUCUCUGAAGGUCCCCACCAACCUCCACCUCUAAGUGAUCCUACGACACUGCAACCUAGUGGCAAAGAGUCAUUUUGCUCUCCAUCUUGACUAAGGACGUGCUUCACAUUAUGCAAUGGUGGUUUGCAAAGGAAAAAGGUAGAAGGGCCUAAGAGAAAUGCCUGGUAAGUUAGGAAACUAGCUGGAAGGUGGUAAUGCAUCUCAGAGAGUAAAUUGGUCUAUGGGACCAAAGCUUUCUGAUUUCUUGAUGGCUAGGCAGGCAGUGACUGGGACUAUGAAAGCGCUGCAGUAGGAGUUCCAGGAAGGGUCCUGCAGGAACUGUUGAUCAUUCACCAAAGAAGCUUCCAGCAAAAACUCUUUCUAUCAUGUGGAGGAAAGAGAAUAGAGCUGUAGGGAGCCUGCUUUGCAGGGCGGUUGGACUUGAUCUCUAAAGGUCCCUUCCAACCCCCACAUCUGUGAUUGUGUGACCUCCAUCAAAGGAAAAUAAAGACUCAAUGCAAAGUCUCAAGUUUAACUUCGGGUCAUUUUUAAGAGAAGACUUUUCCAGGAAACAAGAAUAACUCUGGUUGUGGGAGGGCUACCACUUAGUGAAGAUUAAUUUUAAACUCAGGGAUGCAAUUCAGUGAGUACCAAGCUGAAUUCAGGAGUAAUGGAAAUUUCCCAAAGAUUGGUCUUUAGGCCAAAUAAGAAAAUGAAUGUAUUUCAUUGUAGUGCUUUAGACAAAAAGUUGAAGAUUAGUCCUGUGACUUGCAUGAUUGUUCUUCAUCCAAUGACUUUACACACACACCCUGAUAGGGUAUAUUCCUGUGAUGUUUUCCAACAAAAUUAUAUUAACUCUGGAAGUACUAUUAUUAGCUGAUGUCCAGCAGUAAUACAAAUGGGUUUUAAUUCUUUACUUGACAGCUCCUUCAGGUUGUGCUGUGCUGCUCCCUGUUCUGGCUUCACAACAGAAGCAAAAGGUUUUAAUGUCAGACUUGUUUCAUGGCCCUUGAAGGCUAUCUUUUUCCUCUAUUCUGGUGCUUCUUGGGGAAUUCUUAAGAAUCAAGACUUUAAAAUAUCAUAAAAUAAGGACAAAUAUGUCAUGUUCUAGGAUUCUCCUAUUGGCACGUUUCCAUGUAAAACUUUAUUUUCGGAAUUACUUAAAUGUUGCUUUUGCAGUUUACAUGUUUAUUGGCAAAAUGUUGGCUCCAUCUGUGCAUAAAGUCUCCAUUUGGA
ensembl:lncRNA